rnacentral:rRNA from 1 species
GACGAACGCUGGCGGCGUGCUUAACACAUGCAAGUCGAACGGAAAGGCCCUGCUUUUGUGGGGUGCUCGAGUGGCGAACGGGUGAGUAACACGUGAGUAACCUGCCCUUGACUUUGGGAUAACUUCAGGAAACUGGGGCUAAUACCGGAUAGGAGCUCCUGCUGCAUGGUGGGGGUUGGAAAGUUUCGGCGGUUGGGGAUGGACUCGCGGCUUAUCAGCUUGUUGGUGGGGUAGUGGCUUACCAAGGCUUUGACGGGUAGCCGGCCUGAGAGGGUGACCGGCCCCAUGGGACCGGGGUUCCGGCCAGGCCUCUUACGGGGGGCAGGGGGGGGGAUUAUGGCACAAGGGGCGAAGCCUUGAUCAGGCACCGCGCGGUGCGGGAUGCGGGCUUUCGGUUUGAAACCCGUUUUGGCUUGGGACGAGCGGUGGGGGCGGUAAUUGGUAAAGAAGCACCGGCUAACUACGUG